rnacentral:rRNA from 1 species
UACGGAGGGUGCAAACGUUGCUCGGAAUCAUUGGGCGUAAAGGGUGCGUAGGCGGCGCGGUAAGUCGGGUGUGAAAUCUCGGGGCUUAACUCCGAAACUGCAUUCGAUACUGCCGUGCUUGAGGACUGGAAAGGAGACUGGAAUUUACGGUGUAGCGGUGAAAUGCGUAGAUAUCGUAAGGAAGACCAGUGGCGAAGGCGGGUCUCUGGACAGUUCCUGACGCUGAGGCACGAAGGUCAGGGGAGCAAACGGG